GUGCCAGCCGCCGCGGUAAUACGGAGGGUGCAAGCAUUAAUCGGAUUUAUUGGGCGUAAAGGGCGCGUAGGCUGAAUGGUAAGUCAGAUGUGAAAUUCCGAAGCUCAACUUCGGAGCUGCAUUUGAAACUGCCAAUCUAGAGGGUAGGCGGAGAAAACGGAAUUCCACAUGUAGCGGUGAAAUGCGUAGAUAUGUGGAAGAACACCUGUGGCGAAAGCGGUUUUCUAGCUUACAACUGACGCUGAGGCGCGAAAGCAAGGGGAGCAAACAGGAUUAGAUACCCUGGUAGUCCUUGCUGUAAACGGUGUACACUUGAUGUAGCUGGGCUCGAUCCUGGCUGUGUCGUAGCUAACGCGAUAAGUGUACCGCCUGAGGAGUACGCUCGCAAGGGUGAA
rnacentral:rRNA from 1 species